GGACCCGCACAAGCGGUGGAGCAUGUGGUUUAAUUCGAUGAUACGCGAGGAACCUUACCAGGGCUUAAAUGCAGAACGACAGGGUGGAAACACCCUCUUCUUCGGACGGUCUGCAAGGUGCUGCAUGGUUGUCGUCAGCUCGUGCUGUGAAGUGUCGGGUUAAGUCCCAUAACGAGCGCAACCCCUAUUUCUAGUUGCCAGCGGUUCGGCCGGGGACUCUAGAAAAAACUGCCAGCGUAAGCUGUGAGGAAGGUGGGGGAUGACGUCAAAAUCAUCACGGGCCCUUACGUCCUGGGCUACACACGUGCUACAAUGGUAGGACAGAGAGUUGCCAACCCGCGAGGGUGAGCU
rnacentral:rRNA from 1 species